GUGACCCACAGGAGGAUGGCGGCACUUCGAGUCACAAAACCAUACCUAGAUAUUGGGUGCUAAGCAGUAAUGCAGAAUGGACCAGGUCUUCCGGAUGUUUCCGGCUAUGACAGAACUUUAAGGCCUGUCUCUGGUAUAUGGUGAGAUGAAGGUCAUCCCCAGAAACCCGCUAGUGCAACCCUGUCUUGAGGUCAGGAGGCUCAGUAAGUACAGGUUGAGAAAAAUUGAGACCUAAACGCUCAACCUUUGAUGGAGCUGGUUGUGUCUGAUGUAGACUCCAUGCAGACAAAUUGGCUGGUUAGGUUUGAAGAGCAAUAAAUCAAGACUACAGAGAAAACA
rnacentral:lncRNA from 1 species